rnacentral:rRNA from 1 species
CGUGUAGGCGGCCUAAUAAGUUAGAAGUGAAACCUAUCGGCUCAACUGAUAGCCUGCUUCUAAAACUGCUAAGCUUGAGUGCAGAAGAGGGGAGUGGAAUUCCCAGUGUAGCGGUGAAAUGCGUAGAUAUUGGGGGGAACACCAGUGGCGAAAGCGGCUCCCUGGUCUGUAACUGACGCUGAGGCGCGAAAGCGUGGGUAGCAAACA